GUGGACCACGCGUGCACUGCGGUGCUGAGCGCGCCAUCCGCACCAUUUGACGGCCGCUCGCUACACGUUGGGAGUC
rnacentral:sRNA from 4 species